rnacentral:rRNA from 1 species
UAUAAAGCUUAAUUAACAUGUAAAUAUUUGUAUUAUCAUAAUAAGUCUACCCCCAUAGACCAUACUAUCUAAAAGAUAAACAUCAUUUAACAUUUAAAACAGUUGAAAGUAUUGUAAAUUUACAUAAUUGUAGAAACAGUAAAGCAAUAUAUUAUUAGCCCAUCUCGUGCCAGCCGCUGCGGUUAAACAAGAAAUAAAAAGCAAUUUAAUUGAUAACCAGAAAUAUAUAUAUAUAAAUAAGAACAAAAAACAUAAACCUAAGGUAAAAUUUGAUUAAUAUAAUCCAAUCUUAACCAACUAAAACAUCUGAAUAAACUUUAUAUUAAACUAGGAUUAGAUACCCUACUAUAAAAAGAAAAAAUAAUAAUAUCAGAAAACUAAAAGAUAAAACUCUAAACUCAAAGGGUUUGGCGGUAGCUUAGACCAGUCAGAGGAACUUGCCCCAUAAUCGACAAUCCACGACAAUCUUACUUAACAUAAAAGCUUGUAUACCGUCGUCUUAAGAUUAUGCUAACAAGCAAUAUUCAACUUACUCAAAAAUAGUCAUACGUCAGAUCAAGGUGCAGCCUAUAGUUAAGAGAGGGUGAGUUACAAUAACAAUAAUUAAACGAAAAUGAAUUCUCGACGAAUACAUAAAAGGUGGAUUUGAAAGUAAAUUUAUAUAUAUAAAUAAAUUGAGUUAUUUGCACUAAGAUAUGCACACAUCGCCCGUCACUCUCACAAACUUGAGAUAAGUCGUAACAGAGUAGAUGUACCGGAAGGU